UGCUAGACGAGUUUGAUCCUGGCUCAGGAUGGACGCUAGCGGUGUGCUUAAUGCAUGCAAGUCGAACGGGAUCCCAUGGAUUCGUCCAGGGUGAGAGUGGCGGACGGGUGAGUAACGCGUUGGUGACCUGCCUCGGAGAGGGGGACAACCAUUGGAAACGAUGGCUAAUACCCCGGAUGUUAUCGAGUUUAGAAAUCGAUAACUAAAGCUCUGGCGCUCCGAGAGGGGCCAGCGUCCCAUCAGCUUGUUGGUAAGGUAACGGCUUACCAAGGCUCAGACGGGUAGGGGGCGUGAGAGCGUGACCCCCCACACUGGUACUGAAACACGGACCAGAUACCUACGGGUAGCAGCAGCAAGGAAUAUUGCGCAAUGGGCGAAAGCCUGACGCAGCAACACCGCGUGGAGGAUGAAGGCUUUCGGGUUGUAAACUCCUUUUCUGGGGGAAGAGAAAGGACGGUACCCCAGGAAUAAGGCCCGGCUAACUACGUG
rnacentral:rRNA from 1 species